GACGAACGCUGGAGGCGUGCUUAACACAUGCAAGUCGAACGAUGAAGCCUUAGCUUGCUUUGGUGGAUUAGUGGCGAACGGGUGAGUAACACGUGAGCAACGUGCCCAGGACUCUGGAAUAACCGCGGGAAACCGUGGCUAAUACCGGAUAGGUGCCGAGGCCGCAUGGUCUUCGGUUGGAAAGUUUUUGCGGUUCUGGAUCGGCUCACGGCCUAUCAGCUUGUUGGUGGGGUAAUGGCCUACCAAGGCGACGACGGGUAGCCGGCCUGAGAGGGUGACCGGCCACACUGGGACUGAGACACGGCCCAGACUCCUACGGGAGGCAGCAGUGGGGAAUAUUGCACAAUGGGCGCAAGCCUGAUGCAGCAACGCCGCGUGGGGGAUGACGGCCUUCGGGUUGUAAACCUCUUUUAGUAGGGAAGAAGCGCAAGUGACGGUACCUGCAGAAAAAGCACCGGCUAACUACGUG
rnacentral:rRNA from 1 species